CGAAGCUGGCCGUCCAUCUCCUUUGACCUUUUUGUCAAAUGAUGAACUUCCUUUUUCAGACGUCGGAUUGUGGACUUCAGCAGAAUCUCUUGUGGCAAGGGGAGAGCUUCAGCAGGAUGCUGCCAUCAGGAGAUAAAGGCGUCAAAGCGCAUCUCAUUGCAUAAAGCAAAAACAAAAAAAGGAGGAGCAGAGUGGAGAAGCCCUCC
rnacentral:lncRNA from 1 species